UACGAAGGGGGCUAGCGUUGUUCGGAAUCACUGGGCGUAAAGGGCGCGUAGGCGGCUUGAUAAGUCGGGGGUGAAAGCCUGUGGCUCAACCACAGAAUUGCCUUCGAUACUGUCGAGCUUGAGACCGGAAGAGGUAAGUGGAACUGCGAGUGUAGAGGUGAAAUUCGUAGAUAUUCGCAAGAACACCAGUGGCGAAGGCGGCUUACUGGUCCGGUUCUGACGCUGAGGCGCGGAAAAGCGUGGGGAGCAAACAGGG
rnacentral:rRNA from 1 species